CCCACAUGCGCAUCACAGCAAUUUACCCAGCAGAAAAUAUUGCAAACAGGUUUCUCACGUCUGGCAGGUUGAAGAGCUGCUGUCCGAAAUUCGGGUUUCCCUCGGAAUCGAGUCUGUAUGAUUCUCCGACUCGAGUCUUCGCAGACGUUUCUGGCUGAUGUCGUGAAAUGUCGCAGAACAAGACUCAAGCUCCGUCUUCUGCGAUGUUACGAGGGCACUGCCUGCAUGUCAACUUGGCCACUUCCCUUGGACAGCCAGCCAAGGAAUACAGACACAACAAUUGCAGACCAUCUCUAUCAAGCCAGAGCACAACAAUACAACAUCUCCCUGUGUGUUCCCAACCAAUGUGAGUAUUUUAAAGAGUCUGAAGCCCAUUUGGAGCAGCUCACUUCAGCCAGAUGCUGCCUGCCCUGUUAUAGCUCCCCCUAGCAGCUGCCUCCAUAUUUCCUUGUUUAUGCUAACCAUGAUAUCUAUCCUCACCCUAUACAGACACCAUGCCAAGACCUGUAAAAAUCCAUACACUGGCAUGCAUUAGGGCCAAUGUACAUCCCAAUGAGCCCAUCCAUCCAUUAGUGGCCUGGCCAUUAGAAAACACAGCU